GUGCCAGCAGCCGCGGUAAUACGUAGGUGGCAAGCGUUAUCCGGAAUUAUUGGGCGUAAAGCGCGCGUAGGCGGUUUUUUAAGUCUGAUGUGAAAGCCCACGGCUCAACCGUGGAGGGUCAUUGGAAACUGGUAAACUUGAGUGCAGAAGAGGAAAGUGGAAUUCCAUGUGUAGCGGUGAAAUGCGCAGAGAUAUGGAGGAACACCAGUGGCGAAGGCGACUUUCUGGUCUGUAACUGACGCUGAUGUGCGAAAGCGUGGGGAUCAAAC
rnacentral:rRNA from 1 species